UACGGAGGAUCCGAGCGUUAUCCGGAUUUAUUGGGUUUAAAGGGUGCGUAGGCGGUUUGAUAAGUUAGAGGUAAAAUGUCGGGGCUCAACCCCGAAACUGCCUCUAAUACUGUUGGACUAGAGAAUAGUUGCGGUAGGCGGAAUGUAUGGUGUAGCGGUGAAAUGCUUAGAGAUCAUACAGAACACCGAUUGCGAAGGCAGCUUACCAAACUAUAUCUGACGUUGAGGCACGAAAGCGUGGGUAGCAAACAGG
rnacentral:rRNA from 1 species